UGCGCUCGUAGCUCAGCUGGAUAGAGCAUUUGAUUGCGGUUCAAAAGGUCAGGGAUUCGAAUUCCUUCGAGCGCACCAC
rnacentral:tRNA from 1 species